rnacentral:rRNA from 1 species
ACUCCUACGGGAGGCAGCAGUGGGGAAUAUUGGACAAUGGGCGCAAGCCUGAUCCAGCCAUGCCGCGUGAGUGAUGAAGGCCCUAGGGUUGUAAAGCUCUUUCACCGGUGAAGAUAAUGACGGUAACCGGAGAAGAAGCCCCGGCUAACUUCGUGCCAGCAGCCGCGGUAAUACGAAGGGGGCUAGCGUUGUUCGGAUUUACUGGGCGUAAAGCGCACGUAGGCGGACUAUUAAGUCAGGGGUGAAAUCCCGGGGCUCAACCCCGGAACUGCCUUUGAUACUGGUAGUCUUGAGUUCGAGAGAGGUGAGUGGAAUUCCGAGUGUAGAGGUGAAAUUCGUAGAUAUUUGGAGGAACACCAGUGGCGAAGGCGGCUCACUGGCUCGAUACUGACGCUGAGGUGCGAAAGCGUGGGGAGCAAACAGGAUUAGAAACCCCUGUAGUCCCAUGA